rnacentral:tRNA from 1 species
GAGGAUAUAGCUCAGUGGUGGAGCAUGUGCUUAGCAUGCACAAGGUCCUGGGUUCAAUCCCCAGUACCUCCA